rnacentral:rRNA from 1 species
UCAAGGAGGCUUGCUACCCUGAACAAGCCCGAUCCCGUCUGAUCUCAGAAGCCAAGCAGGGUCAGGCCUGGUUAGUUCCAGGAUGGGAAACCACCAGAUGCUGUAGGUG